UUAAGUGACUAAGCGUACAGGGUGGAUGCCUGGGCAGUCAGAGGCGAUGAAGGGCGUACUAACUUGCGAUAAGCGCAGAUGAGGCAGUAAGAGCCGUUUGAGUCUGCGAUUUCCGAAUGGGGAAACCCAACUGCAUAAGCAGUUACUGUUAACUGAAUACAUAGGUUAACAGAGCAAACCGGGGGAACUGAAACAUCUAAGUACCCCGAGGAGAAGAAAUCAACCGAGAUUCCGGUAGUAGCGGCGAGCGAACCUGGAUUAGCCCUUAAGCACUCGGUGAAGUAGGUGAACAAGCUAGGAAAGCUUGGCGAUACGAGGGUGAUACGCCCCGUAACCGACGCUUCAUCGAGCGUGAAAUCGAGUAGGGCGGGACACGUGAUAUCCUGUCUGAAUAUGGGGGGACCAUCCUCCAAGGCUAAAUACUCCUGACUGACCGAUAGUGAACCAGUACCGUGAGGGAAGGCGAAAAGAACCCCUGUGAGGGGAGUGAAAUAGAACCUGAAACCGUGUACGUACAAGCAGUAGGAGCACCUUCGUGGUGUGACUGCGUACCUUUUGUAUAAUGGGUCAGCGACUUAUAUUCAGUGGCAAGGUUAACCGUAUAGGGGAGCCGUAGCGAAAGCGAGUCUUAACUGGGCGCUCAGUCUCUGGAUAUAGACCCGAAACCGGGUGAUCUAGCCAUGGGCAGGUUGAAGGUUGAGUAACAUCAACUGGAGGACCGAACCGACUAAUGUUGAAAAAUUAGCGGAUGACUUGUGGCUAGGGGUGAAAGGCCAAUCAAACUCGGAGAUAGCUGGUUCUCCCCGAAAGCUAUUUAGGUAGCGCCUCGGACGAAUACUACUGGGGGUAGAGCACUGUUAAGGCUAGGGGGUCAUCCCGACUUACCAACCCUUUGCAAACUCCGAAUACCAGUAAGUACUAUCCGGGAGACACACGGCGGGUGCUAACGUCCGUCGUGGAGAGGGAAACAACCCAGACCGCCAGCUAAGGUCCCAAAGUAUUGCUAAGUGGGAAACGAUGUGGGAAGGCUCAGACAGCUAGGAUGUUGGCUUAGAAGCAGCCAUCAUUUAAAGAAAGCGUAAUAGCUCACUAGUCGAGUCGGCCUGCGCGGAAGAUGUAACGGGGCUAAGCAAUACACCGAAGCUGCGGCAAUAUCUUUUAGAUAUUGGGUAGGGGAGCGUUCUGUAAGCCGUUGAAGGUGAAUCGUAAGGUUUGCUGGAGGUAUCAGAAGUGCGAAUGCUGACAUGAGUAACGACAAAGGGGGUGAAAAACCUCCUCGCCGGAAGACCAAGGGUUCCUGUCCAACGUUAAUCGGGGCAGGGUGAGUCGACCCCUAAGGUGAGGCCGAAAGGCGUAAUCGAUGGGAAACGGGUUAAUAUUCCCGUACUUCUGACUAUUGCGAUGGGGGGACGGAGAAGGCUAGGUGGGCCAGGCGACGGUUGUCCUGGUUCAAGUGCGUAGGCUUGAGAGUUAGGUAAAUCCGGCUCUCUCUAAGGCUGAGACACGACGUCGAGCUGCUACGGCAGUGAAGUCAUUGAUGCCAUGCUUCCAGGAAAAGCCUCUAAGCUUCAGAUAGUCAGGAAUCGUACCCCAAACCGACACAGGUGGUCGGGUAGAGAAUACCAAGGCGCUUGAGAGAACUCGGGUGAAGGAACUAGGCAAAAUGGUACCGUAACUUCGGGAGAAGGUACGCUCUUGAUGGUGAAGUCCCUCGCGGAUGGAGCUGACGAGAGUCGCAGAUACCAGGUGGCUGCAACUGUUUAUUAAAAACACAGCACUGUGCAAAAUCGCAAGAUGACGUAUACGGUGUGACGCCUGCCCGGUGCCGGAAGGUUAAUUGAUGGGGUUAGCGCAAGCGAAGCUCUUGAUCGAAGCCCCGGUAAACGGCGGCCGUAACUAUAACGGUCCUAAGGUAGCGAAAUUCCUUGUCGGGUAAGUUCCGACCUGCACGAAUGGCGUAAUGAUGGCCACGCUGUCUCCACCCGAGACUCAGUGAAAUUGAAAUCGCUGUGAAGAUGCAGUGUACCCGCGGCUAGACGGAAAGACCCCGUGAACCUUUACUACAGCUUGGCACUGAACAUUGAACCUACAUGUGUAGGAUAGGUGGGAGGCUAUGAAGACGUGACGCCAGUUGCGUUGGAGCCGUCCUUGAAAUACCACCCUUGUAUGUUUGAUGUUCUAACUUAGACCCAUUAUCUGGGUUGAGGACAGUGCCUGGUGGGUAGUUUGACUGGGGCGGUCUCCUCCCAAAGAGUAACGGAGGAGCACGAAGGUGGGCUAAUCACGGUUGGACAUCGUGAGGUUAGUGCAAUGGCAUAAGCCCGCUUAACUGCGAGAAUGACGGUUCGAGCAGGUGCGAAAGCAGGUCAUAGUGAUCCGGUGGUUCUGUAUGGAAGGGCCAUCGCUCAACGGAUAAAAGGUACUCCGGGGAUAACAGGCUGAUACCGCCCAAGAGUUCAUAUCGACGGCGGUGUUUGGCACCUCGAUGUCGGCUCAUCACAUCCUGGGGCUGAAGUCGGUCCCAAGGGUAUGGCUGUUCGCCAUUUAAAGUGGUACGCGAGCUGGGUUUAGAACGUCGUGAGACAGUUCGGUCCCUAUCUGCCGUGGGCGUUGGAAGAUUGAAGGGGGCUGCUCCUAGUACGAGAGGACCGGAGUGGACGAACCUCUGGUGUUCGGGUUGUGUCGCCAGACGCAUUGCCCGGUAGCUAAGUUCGGAAUUGAUAAGCGCUGAAAGCAUCUAAGCGCGAAGCGAGCCCUGAGAUGAGUCUUCCCUGACAGUUUAACUGUUCUAAAGGGUUGUUCGAGACUAGAACGUUGAUAGGCAGGGUGUGUAAGCGUUGUGAGGCGUUGAGCUAACCUGUACUAAUUGCCCGUGAGGCUUAACCAU
rnacentral:rRNA from 1 species